AUGGGAGUCUACUGGACAGCUGUUCUCCUCUGCCAUCUUCUAGCCUCUUUAGUCCACUCACUGACAUGCAAUGAACGAAAACAGUACAAGUGGCCAGCCAGCUCUCCCACAAGGUGCUGCCAGAAAUGCGAACCAGGUGAGUUCAUGGAAAAAAGAUGCCAGGAUGGGUCCAUAGAAACUAAAUGCCAGGAGUGCAGCCCAGAUAUGUAUACAGAUGUUCCCAAUUUCCUCGCCCAAUGCAAGAUGUGCAAACCUUGCAGCAAAAACCAGGUGCAGAAGGCAGCUUGUUCGCGACUGCAGAACACUGUGUGUGACUGCAAGCAAGGAUAUAAAUGCACAGAUGCUGAAUGUUCAGAGUGUGAAAAGGAGGACCAUGACCAUGGCCAAGACCAAGUAACCACUACACAACAGCCCACAACUACAGAACGUAGAAAGACAACUGUCAACAAAGAGAGAC
rnacentral:lncRNA from 1 species